rnacentral:rRNA from 1 species
ACAGCCCCGUACACAAAAAUGCACAUGCUGUGAGCUCGAUGAGUAGGGCGGGACACGUGGUAUCCUGUCUGAAUAUGGGGGGACCAUCCUCCAAGGCUAAAUACUCCUGACUGACCGAUAGUGAACCAGUACCGUGAGGGAAAGGCGAAAAGAACCCCGGCGAGGGGAGUGAAAAAGAACCUGAAACCGUGUACGUACAAGCAGUGGGAGCACAGAGCAAUCUGUGUGACUGCGUACCUUUUGUAUAAUGGGUCAGCGACUUAUAUUCUGUAGCAAGGUUAACCGAAUAGGGGAGCCGAAGGGAAACCGAGUCUUAACUGGGCGUUAAGUUGCAGGGUAUAGACCCGAAACCCGGUGAUCUAGCCAUGGGCAGGUUGAAGGUUGGGUAACACUAACUGGAGGACCGAACCGACUAAUGUUGAAAAAUUAGCGGAUGACUUGUGGCUGGGGGUGAAAGGCCAAUCAAACCGGGAGAUAGCUGGUUCUCCCCGAAAGCUAUUUAGGUAGCGCCUCGUGAAUUCAUCUCCGGGGGUAGAGCACUGUUUCGGCAAGGGGGUCAUCCCGACUUACCAACCCGAUGCAAACUGCGAAUACCGGAGAAUGUUAUCACGGGAGACACACGGCGGGUGCUAACGUCCGUCGUGAAGAGGGAAACAACCCAGACCGCCAGCUAAGGUCCCAAAGUCAUGGUUAAGUGGGAAACGAUGUGGGAAGGCCCAGACAGCCAGGAUGUUGGCUUAGAAGCAGCCAUCAUUUAAAGAAAGCGUAAUAGCUCACUGGUCGAGUCGGCCUGCGCGGAAGAUGUAACGGGGCUAAACCAUGCACCGAAGCUGCGGCAGCGACGCUGAUGCGUUGUUGGGUAGGGGAGCGUUCUGUAAGCCUGUGAAGGUGUGCUGUGAGGCAUGCUGGAGGUAUCAGAAGUGCGAAUGCUGACAUAAGUAACGAUAAAGCGGGUGAAAAGCCCGCUCGCCGGAAGACCAAGGGUUCCUGUCCAACGUUAAUCGGGGCAGGGUGAGUCGACCCCUAAGGCGAGGCCGAAAGGCGUAGUCGAUGGGAAACAGGUUAAUAUUCCUGUACUUGGUGUUACUGCGAAGGGGGGACGGAGAAGGCUAUGUUGGCCGGGCGACGGUUGUCCCGGUUUAAGCGUGUAGGCUGGUUUUCCAGGCAAAUCCGGAAAAUCAAGGCUGAGGCGUGAUGACGAGGCACUACGGUGCUGAAGCAACAAAUGCCCUGCUUCCAGGAAAAGCCUCUAAGCAUCAGGUAACAUCAAAUCGUACCCCAAACCGACACAGGUGGUCAGGUAGAGAAUACCAAGGCGCUUGAGAGAACUCGGGUGAAGGAACUAGGCAAAAUGGUGCCGUAACUUCGGGAGAAGGCACGCUGAUAUGUAGGUGAAGUCCCUCGCGGAUGGAGCUGAAAUCAGUCGAAGAUACCAGCUGGCUGCAACUGUUUAUUAAAAACACAGCACUGUGCAAACACGAAAGUGGACGUAUACGGUGUGACGCCUGCCCGGUGCCGGAAGGUUAAUUGAUGGGGUCAGCGCAAGCGAAGCUCUUGAUCGAAGCCCCGGUAAACGGCGGCCGUAACUAUAACGGUCCUAAGGUAGCGAAAUUCCUUGUCGGGUAAGUUCCGACCUGCACGAAUGGCGUAAUGAUGGCCAGGCUGUCUCCACCCGAGACUCAGUGAAAUUGAACUCGCUGUGAAGAUGCAGUGUACCCGCGGCAAGACGGAAAGACCCCGUGAACCUUUACUAUAGCUUGACACUGAACAUUGAGCCUUGAUGUGUAGGAUAGGUGGGAGGCUUUGAAGUGUGGACGCCAGUCUGCAUGGAGCCGGCCUUGAAAUACCACCCUUUAAUGUUUGAUGUUCUAACGUUGACCCGUUAUCCGGGUUGCGGACAGUGUCUGGUGGGUAGUUUGACUGGGGCGGUCUCCUCCUAAAGAGUAACGGAGGAGCACGAAGGUUGGCUAAUCCUGGUCGGACAUCAGGAGGUUAGUGCAAUGGCAUAAGCCAGCUUGACUGCGAGCGUGACGGCGCGAGCAGGUGCGAAAGCAGGUCAUAGUGAUCCGGUGGUUCUGAAUGGAAGGGCCAUCGCUCAACGGAUAAAAGGUACUCCGGGGAUAACAGGCUGAUACCGCCCAAGAGUUCAUAUCGACGGCGGUGUUUGGCACCUCGAUGUCGGCUCAUCACAUCCUGGGGCUGAAGUAGGUCCCAAGGGUAUGGCUGUUCGCCAUUUAAAGUGGUACGCGAGCUGGGUUUAGAACGUCGUGAGACAGUUCGGUCCCUAUCUGCCGUGGGCGCUGGAGAACUGAGGGGGGCUGCUCCUAGUACGAGAGGACCGGAGUGGACGCAUCACUGGUGUUCGGGUUGUCAUGCCAAUGGCACUGCCCGGUAGCUAAAUGCGGAAGAGAUAAGUGCUGAAAGCAUCUAAGCACGAAACUUGCCCCGAGAUGAGUUCUCCCUGACUCCUUGAGAGUCCUGAAGGAACGUUGAAGACGACGACGUUGAUAGGCCGGGUGUGUAAGCGCAGCGAUGCGUUGAGCUAACCGGUACUAAUGAACCGUGAG